ACAGCAAACUUGGUCCUUGUGGUGUGUGAUUAAACUGGAACCAGUCUUACAGUAUCUGCUGGGUGUCAAGAGGUUAGAUGGGCUCAAAACCAAUCAGGCAAAUUAACAGAAGAAGUAAAUCUAUCAGGGACUAGUAGGCAAGAAGAUGACAUUUGUGCCUGAAGAGCUGCCUGCGUGGCAGGCUCUGGAUAUGGGGAGGAGACAGUGGAGAAAAUGACUGCAUGGUUACCCCUUCUAAAAAUUGUUUGCCUUGGUAUCUGCUGCUGGCUCCUGUCAGUAGGUGGACCUUUGAUUUGAUCCAGUAGAAUUCCUCUGUAUAAUGUUUCUGUUUAAUUUUUUUUAAUGUUUUUGCACAUAAAAUAUCUCAGAUACCCACAGGGUCCCAAGUUUUGAUCCCUACCUAAUUUAGACCCAGCCUGGAUGUCACUCGGAGUCUUGAGAGAGAACGUGUUUGGAAGGUCUCACUGAUCCAGCCACCUGAGAAGGCAAUCAAAGAGCUGUGAGCACAGGCCUUGAUGUCCAGACCCCUCAACAGACCUUGGAUCACACUUCAUCUUCCAGGCUGGAUGCUCUUGUUGCACAAGGAUUUCCUGAAGGUCCCUGUGGAUGUGUCCUUCAUGGAUAGCACAGCCACGUGCUCAAGUUUAUGUGCAGUGUGUUUUACCCCAUGGGACACUUGACGUCUCCAGCAUAGGGAGUUGUUCUGCCUUCCUUGGCCUUUGGAACAGGCUGCUUUUGGGGAAAAGUCUGUAUCAUAAGAAAGCCUCUACGGAUGGGGAAAAGAUAUCAAUAAAACAAUUUAUUGCUCCAAUUCUGAAAUCCCCCUGCAACCUCUACCCUGACAUAUCACUCUGCUUGCAUAUACAUCAGUGGUUGACUUGCCCUAUAAAGCCAUGGAAUUUUCUCCUUUCCUUUGUGUGCAAGAAUUUCUGGAUAACCUGGGGGUAGGAAAAGGGAUGGUGAUUUUGCUGUUACAUCAGAUCACUUGUGCUUAUUAAGCGCUGUCUUUUAUGUGUUGAUUUUGGAAUCGGUCUCCAGGCCUCCAUACUGAGAAGCUGCUCCCAAAGAUGUUUUGGCUGUUUGUUGCUUCCUGUCUUUCAGGACAGUGUGUCUUGGGUUGAAAAAUGCAACCAAAAAUGUGGUUUUCACAUUUCAAAUCUAUUUUCAUCUGCUGAAACUGGUUGGGAGGUACUGUUCUUUAUCUCUUGUAGCUCGGGGCGGGGUGGCAGGGGGGAGAGGGCACAUGCCUUCUGUUAAUGGGACACCUGAUAACCAGAUAUGGCAGUGCCUCCUUAUCUCUUUCUCCACCCAUCCUCCUCCGAGGGACAUCCCCUGUGAAUGGGCCAUUGAAGGCCUCUCACAUGACUGAUAACAUCACCUCAUCCCAUUGGGAGAUGCUCCACCCACUGGGAAGAGCCAGAGCCAUUCCACUGGGAUAAAACCUGCACUCCCAAACACUAAUUUAUCUGGUUUUCUACUGAAUCCUUGGAGGAAUACUGGACCCAUCUUGCCAGCACUGGAUCCUUUCUACAGGAUCAUCUCUACUUCACGCAACAACAUCUGUUACUCCAGGAGGAUUUAUUUGGACUGCUUCCAACACCCUGACAGCAGGGUGUCAGGUUGUAUCUCUGACUCCAUCAGGGUUUUCUAGGACUUUUGUUUGUUUGCCUUUUUUUUUUUUUUUUUUUUUUUGGUACUACUGCAUUUAUAUUUUUAAUAUUCUUAGCAAAAGACAGUUAUUUCCAUUCCCAUCUUUUUGCCUGAAAGUUCCUAAUUGCAAAAUUGUAAUAAUUUGGAGGGAGGGAGUUUUUACAUUCUCCAUUCCAAGGGAAACUCCAGUUUUCCCUGACAGAUACCUGUCUUUCCAAACCAACACACAGUGAAAUAUCUGGCCCAAAGGUACAAGCUACUCUCCACAGUGAAAGUAGUGAUGGCCAGAGGGAAAUGUGCCACCUUCCCGCGUCCCCCCACACACUCAGGGAAUGGCACGGGAAUUGCAGCUGUGGUGUAAUUCCUCCCAGUAAUUCCUCCCAGUAAUUCCUACCUGCCACUAGUUCCUGCCUGUGGCAGUGGGGCAGGAGAGCUGUGUUUGAGAAGGGAGCUGAGGGCACGGCAUCCCGUGGGCAGCUGCCUGGCAGGUGUGGAGCAGUGGGAAAUGAGGCACUCAGCAGAUGCCUGCUUUCCCCGCUGUUGCCUUAGCAGGUGUGUGGGUGUACACGCUGUAGGUGUCUCAGACUUGUUAAUAAAGCCAAGGUUAUGAAUAAAACCUCUCUGCUACUGCAGGGUGUUUCUGCCACUGCAGUUCAUUGGCAGCAGUAGUUGGGUGAGAGAGGGGAUGCUGUGGAUGCACAAAAGCUUCAUCUUCCUGCCAUCUCUACCUUCUGAUUCCAUUUCACUGGGAAUCAAAGGACUUUACAGUGUUUUAACUGGAGAAUAGUUUGAUUAAAGUUUCUCUUUAGAAGGACAAAUAAAUCUUGAUCUUGUGAUUAAGAAGGUACAAUUGAGGAAUUAAAAAAUAAAAUGUUUGCAUAUGAGGCAUGUUCCACAGAUAAUAAGUUCAAUGGAAGUUUAAGAUGAUGUCUUUCUCAAAGUGGUGCAUAUUUUCUUACAGUUCUUUUUAAUGCAAGAAGAAUUUUCUUUUAUUUGUCUUUUAGAUAAAUAAAUCAAAAUUUAGAUAAAUUUAAAAAGAAAGAAUACUUACAUUUGUAGUUUAUUUUUGUAAGUUUGCCAUGAUAGAAGGCUAUAAAACACUGUUCUGGGGAAGAGAGUGACCAAAAAGUAGCUUUUGAGGAAAAAUAAAUAGUGAGGGGAAAGGAUGCACUAAGCUAAGACCUCACCAAAAGAACAAAGCACCACGGAGAUGUGGCUGGCCACAAGUACAAAGCAUAACCACAAAGCACUCUGAUUAGCCAACUAGUCUGCUUCUUAGGUUUAUUAAACAUGACAAGAAAUUUAAUAGAGAAAUCAAGGUAUUUGUAAAACACUAAAGGUGAAACUGCUUGCUGUUUACAACAAGUGAUUUUUCUGUUGUAUUUCAUAAGAACUGCCAGUCUCUAUUCAAAGCAGAACCAAAAAAAGAGAAUAAAAUAAAUAAGAAAUGGUGCAUUGUGAUCACAAUCAUAGGCUGUUUAUAUGUAUGCUUCAAAUUAAGGGUUUGGUGUCAUGGAAACAGCUUCUUCAUUUGGAAAGCUCUGCGGCAGUGCGAGAAGGAGAAGGCUGGAGAGGGCGAGAGGCAGAGGGAGCGCAGGAGCGCGGCCGUGGAGCCUCCAGGCACCGGCGGCUCCUCCUUCCCGGGGCCAGCAGAGCGAGGGCAGCGCUGCCCGCAUCACCUCGCCCUGCAAGAAUGCAGAUCACCCUCCUUUGCUGCUUGUCAUCGGCAAGGCUCCAUUAUUUUGUAGCUAAUGCACAGUGUAGUUCUAAACACUUUUUAGGGGAAUUUUAUAUAUAUAUAUACACACACACUUAUGCAUAUAUAUAGAUACGCCAUGUAUUUUUGUAAAUGGACUUUACCUAAAUACAGUAUUUAUCCACCAAAGCAAAUGAAUCUAGAAUUUCUAUAAAUGCUGUUCGUUCUGUUCUGCUUGGUGCACACAUACGCAUAGUAUGUUUUGUGUAAUUUUAGUGCUAAAAAGACAUUCCCUGUUGCUGCACAUCAAAGGAAAGCAGUCAUUUGUGUAAAGAGCUUCUAAAAUUUACCAGGAGAGAAACCUCUCCAAUGAAUAUGGAAUUACAAUAGAUGGUUGGGAAUUAACACCACCACUUGCAUUGUCCUAGCUUCGAUGCCAAUUUAUGCUCAUUUUGUGGGCACAGUUCAGAUUACUCAGUAAUUGAUUGCAUUAAGCAGUAGCAGGAGAGCUUUACAGGGACUAAAUUAAGGGCAUGUGCUAUAUUUCUGCCGUGUUGCUGUCAUGAACAUCACCAAGGAGCUGAAACAGACCGAUCCCAUAAAACAGAUUUUUUUUUUUUUUUUUUUUUAAGCAUAGUAAAGUUAGAUCUAGGAUCCUGAGGUGAGAUGAUGUGAAGGCAGUGGAGAUGUUCCCCACUCCUUCACAAAGCUCAGGCUGGCAUCAUGGAAAGAUCUGGUUACAGGGCAGUGCGAAUACUUUGCUGCUUUCACAGAGGGGCCAAACGUGUCCCUUCCUUGGGUUCCCAGAUGAGAAUGCUGCUCUGCUCUCCACCUAACCUCCUGACCCAGCUAGGUGUGAAAAUUUUGGCGAUUUGGGCAUCUUGUGAUGGUGCCCAGGUCUUCGGAGACCUGUUAGACAAGUGGUUUAAUUUUCAAACCAGGAGAGAGCUAUGUCCCCAGCCCAGGGGGAAAGAGCUGUGAACACCAAAGCAGGGGUUCAGGUUGGGGCCUCAGUAUCUUUGGAAAGGGAAGAACCACUGAGGAGCUGCUGGCUGCUUGUGUAAGUGGGCAGUGCCAGGGGGAAUGGGGGAGGUUGCAGGGCAUCUACCAUGUGUGUCUAUUUAUAAGCAACUUUCACUGGGCUUGUUUCCUGCCCUGUGCUCACCCCCAGAGGUGUCUGCUUGUGGUUUGGCUUCCUGGCAGGGAGGAGUAUCUGUACCUACUGCCUAUUCUCUAGUCUGGGAAUGUGGAAGGCCAGGAGAGAAGUUUCAGGAAAAAAACCCAAAUGUAUUUGUCUAAAAUAGGUAACUUUGGUUUAAAGCUGUCAUUUACCUUCCCUAUACCUGAAAGAAAUGGUGGUUCUCUUAGCACCAGCACUGAAAAAGUCAGGUUUUUUGUGUUUGUGUUUUUCUUUAUCAAAAAAUUAAUUUCCAGUUAAAGAAAUAUGGCAAAUGAAGCACCUGCCCUCACAACCAACCUGGGAGGGGGAGAAAGGCUGCAAUUCUGCCCACUUUCGUUACAGUUCCUGCACUGGCAGAGGUAUCCCUGUUAAUUCUGCAGGAAGGAUGCUUCUGGUGCAGCAAUGAAUUCUGCUGAAUGGAAUUCUGGUGCAGUAAAAUCUACCUUGCAGCUUUGGCACUGAAGGUUCGUAAAGAAGAGUUUGGUGUUGCUGUGAGAGGUGCUCAGCACUGCAGUGGCAGCAUCUUACUGGGAAGACACUGCCUGACCAAAGCAGCUCAUUCUUGUCUGCUGUGCAGAAACAGGUGUGUUAAAGUAACUGGAGGUGGAAUGGCAAUUGUGAGAAAAGUGCUGAAUUCCCAGAGAAAAAAAAUUCUCAUUAAUGCAGAGGGAAAAAAUCCCAACAAACCUGUAAAAUUAUAGAAAUCUUUCUGUUUUAGAAUAGCAUAAUAGGUAAAGUAGAAAAGCUUGAAAUUUCUUUAUUUAGAAGCAGGCAAUGGAAGGUAGUUUAGUUGAAUAGUUCUGCUUCAGACUUUCAUUCCUUUUAUUAUCAAAGCAACAUGAAAGGCAUAGAAGCCUGGGCAAAAGAGAAAUGACUGUGCAAUCUUUCUUCUCCUUGAGUUGUGCCUUUGUGCAUGACUUAUUUCAGUGUUUUCAAAGAUAUUGAGGAACAGAAGGAAGAAGUGUGCAUUUACAUUUAUGGUUUUAUUCAGAUCUGGAAUGCAUUUUGAAACAGAUCUUCCAGUUGCUUGCACUAAGGUCUUUUGGUUUGUGGUACCGAGUGGCCUCAGAGCUCCUGAACUCAGCUCCUCCUGGAUGGAGACCACUGCAAUCCAGACAUCAGAUCAGACUAGACCAUGCCUGAC